AUGUGGGCAUUUAAAAAUAUCUUUGCAAUUAGGCCAGGCGUGAGAAAAAAAAUUCAAAGACGACGAUCUCUUUUGGUGUAUUUCUAUUCUCCCUGUUCCAAAUCUUUUUGUUUGGAUGCCACCGGCACACCACAUGUUGUUCUGAAGAUAUCAUGCUAUGGGACUUUUCAGCAGAAUCAAAACAAAAGGAAGCUAUGGUGUUACUUGCAUCUCAGUUUUCACAUUCUUCUCAGGUUUCACAAAAACAUAAACAUGAUUGGAUGGGCGUCCUUGCCGGCGACCUCGCUAUCUCCAACCCAUCCACAGGUUGCUUGGUGUCCUCUCAUCGUGUCUAUUGGUGCAGUAUCACAUAUCCUCUCUCGAAGAGAUGAGAUAAGGAUUACAGGGCUACCAACAACCCACCUCACCUAUAAUGGAAGACAUCCUGAUUCAUUGUUGCAAGCUAGAGAACAAUAA
rnacentral:rRNA from 1 species